GAAGAGAAAAUAAAGUAAUGAUUCUGUGAGUAGUGGCGAGCGAAAGCGGAAGAGACUAAACCUGUGGUGUGUGAUAGCGGUUAGGCGUUGCAUCAUGGGGGUUGUGGGAGUCACAGUGGCGGUUCUAACUGGCUGCCGGCAUGAUGUUCAGGAUGGUAGGUGAACGACUUGGAAUGGUCGGCCGUAGAGGGUGAGAGUCCCGUAAUCGAAAUUGUUCUGUCCGUGGUGUGGCCACCCGAGUAGCACGGGGCUCGUGGAAUCUCGUGUGAAUCUGCCAGGACCACCUGGUAAGUCUAAAUACUUCUUAGUGACCGAUAGUGAAUCAGUACCGUGAGGGAAUGGUGAAAAGUACCCCGGGAGGGGAGUGAAAUAGUACCUGAAACCGUGUGCUUACAAGCCGUUGGAGCCUUUUGGGGUGACAGCGUGCCUUUUGAAGAAUGAGCCUGCGAGUUAGUGUUAUGUCGCGAGGUUAACCCGUGUGGGGUAUCCGUAGCGAAAGCGAGUCUGAAUAGGGCGUUUGAGUGGCAUGACCUAGACCCGAAGCGGAGUGAUCUAUCCAUGGCCAGGUUGAAGCGACGGUAAGACGUCGUGGAGGACCGAACCCACUUCAGUUGAAAAUGGAGGGGAUGAGCUGUGGAUAGGGGUGAAAGGCCAAUCAAACUCUGUGAUAGCUGGUUCUCCCCGAAAUGCAUUUAGGUGCAGCGUUACGUGUUUCUUGCCGGAGGUAGAGCUACUGGAUGGCCGAUGGGCCUUCACGGGUUACUGACGUCAGCUAAACUCCGAAUGCCGGUAAGUGAGAGCGUAGCAGUGAGACAGUGGGGGAUAAGCUUCAUUGUCGAGAGGGAAACAGCCCAGACCACCAACUAAGGCCCCUAAGCGUGUGCUAAGUGGGAAAGGAUGUGGAGUUGCUUAGACAACCAGGAGGUUGGCUUAGAAGCAGCCACCCUUGAAAGAGUGCGUAACAGCUCACUGGUCAAGUGAUUCUGCGCCGAUAAUGUAGCGGGGCUCAAGUACACCGCCGAAGUUGUGGCAAUGAUCUUUUUGGAUUGUUGGGUAGGGGAGCGUCGUGUGGCCGUUGAAGCUGCGGUGUAAACCAGUGGUGGAGGCUAUGCGAGUGAGAAUGCAGGCAUGAGUAGCGAAAGAUGAGUGAGAAACUCAUCCGCCGGAUGAUCAAGGGUUCCAGGGUCAAGUUAAUCUGCCCUGGGUUAGUCGGGGCCUAAGGCGAGGCCGACAGGCGUAGUCGAUGGAUAACGGGUUGAUAUUCCCGUACCGGUGAAGAACCGCCCAUACUGAUAUUGUGAUGCUAACCAUGCGAAGCAUGAUGUGCAGGCUUUUGUUUGUGUGUUGUGUGGGUUGUGGGGCCCGAUCUUUGGAGGUAAACGUGUUAACAGGUGUGACGCAGGAAGGUAGCCAAGCCACGCGAUGGUUGUCGUGGUCUAAGCGUGUAGGGUUGUCGGUUGUUAAAUGCGCCGGCUGUGUGCCUGAGACGUGAUGGGACCCUGUUUUUGGGGGAUUUGGUGAUCCUAUGCUGCCGAGAAAAGCAUCGGCGUGAGGUUUUAGCCGCCCGUACCCUAAACCGACACAGGUGAUCAGGUAGAGAAUACUAAGGCGAUCGAGAGAAUCAUGGUUAAGGAACUCGGCAAAAUGCCCCCGUAACUUCGGGAGAAGGGGGACCUUGAGCGUGAUGGGCACUUGCUGCCUGGAGCGUGUAUGGGUCGCAGAGACCAGGGGGAAGCGACUGUUUAUCAAAAACACAGGUCCGUGCGAAGUCGUAAGACGAUGUAUACGGACUGACUCCUGCCCGGUGCUGGAAGGUUAAGAGGAUUGGUUAGCCUUUGUGGCGAAGCUGAGAAUUUAAGCCCCAGUAAACGGCGGUGGUAACUAUAACCAUCCUAAGGUAGCGAAAUUCCUUGUCGGGUAAGUUCCGACCUGCACGAAUGGCGUA
rnacentral:rRNA from 1 species